rnacentral:tRNA from 206 species
GGGUGAUUAGCUCAGUUGGGAGAGCAUCGCCCUUACAAGGCGAGGGUCACUGGUUCAAGUCCAGUAUCACCCACCA